rnacentral:rRNA from 1 species
UCGCCUGUUUAUCAAAAACAUCUUUUCUUGUUAGUUUUUGAAGUAUGGCCUGCCCGCUGACAUUUGGUGUUGAAGGGCCGCGGUAUUAUGACCGUGCAAAGGUAGCAUAAUCAUUAGUUCUUUAAUUGUGAUCUGGAAUGAAUGGCUUGACGAGGCACGGGCUGUCUUAGUGUUGAAUGUUUUAUUGAAUUUGGUCUUUGAGUUAAAAUUCUUAGAUGUUUUUGUGGGACGAGAAGACCCUAUAGAGUUUGACAUUUGGUUUAUUUACUUGUUUGUUGUUUGUUUAUUUUUGGUGAGUGGGCUUUUUGUUUUGUUGGGGUGAUGGGAGGAAUGUACUUAACUCCUCUUAGUUUUGGUUAUAUUGAUUUAUAAUUGUUUGAUCCAUUUAUUUUGAUUGUAAGACUAAAUUACCUUAGGGAUAACAGCGUAA